AGGCGUAAUCUGCCCGAAGGCGCUUUCAGUUUUUCCUCCAAGGACCUGUUUGUUGAAGUUUUAUUCACAGAUUGGUCCCUGGUGUUCAACACCUCAUAACUCCGCAACCGUAACUCUGAUUGAGGUGAAUCCAACGCCCACUUCUUCGUCUCGUCAAACCCGUUCUUUCAUAACCAUUUUCACUAUGUUUCAACAUUCUAGAAAUGACCAUUUUGCCCUUGCCCCUAAUCAGCCCCCUCCGAGAGAGAACCCAUUUCGGCGAUUCUUUCCGCGGCUUCACCGCACUUCUCCCCGGAGCCUCCUUCAUCCCCAGGAAAGACACAACCACCAUUUGCAUGAUAGCCAUGCAGAAGCAUGGGUUUUCAACUUGAAUCUUUAAUAACUUUUUGUUUGCUUUGCUGCUGAUGUCGGUAUUUCGGUUAUGCUUAUGGAUCGGUGUUUACCGGCAUGCUAUGUUUUCAUCCAUGCUGUUAUUAUGUUAUUCAUGCUAGUAUUACUUUAAUAUUGGCAAUGUUUGGUAGUAGUAAAUGUUGGUGAUGGUCUUCGGUGCCUGACGAUUGUCUGUUCCGAGUACCGGUUUUAUGCCUGUUCCUUUGCAUCCAGUUGACUAAAUACUUGCAUGGUAGUUUUAUCGUUAUGUUAUUGCAUGGUAUUUAUUGUUGAUGCUAAUGGUCAUGUUAUGCUAUGAGUAGUAUUCUAGUUGUGAUAUCUAUGCUCGUCAGUAUGCCAUGCUCAUCUCAAUAAAUGGUUAAAUGUCGUUGUUAUGCUUGUUGAUUGGGAUGCACCCCCAUGCUUAUGUUAAUAUCAUGUUCAUGCAUUGUAGUUGCAUCAGGUUAUUUUUAUCAUGACUCGGCAUUUUGCAUUCAAGAUUAACCGGAUUAAAUUGAACUUGAACAACUGUUGGCUGAGUCAUGCUGCCAUGAUACGUCUCCAACGUAUCUAUAAUUUUUGAUUUUCCAUGCUAUAUUAUAUUUUGUUUUGGAUGAUUAAUGGGCUUUGUUAUACAAUUUUAUAUUAUUUUUGGGACUAACCUAUUAACCGGAGGCCCAGCCCAAGUAGCAGUUUUUUGCCUAUUUCAGUGUUUCGUUUAGAUAGCAUUAGCCGCUUUUCUUCCUUUCCAGAAAAAAUAUAUCAAACGGAGUCCAAACGGAAUGAAACCUUCGGGAACGUGAUUUCUGGAACAAACAUGAUCCAGAGGACUUGGAGUGGAUGUCAAGCAACACACGAGGCGGCCACGAGGUAGGGGGCACGCCCCCCAGGCGCGCCCUCCACCCUCGUGGGCCCCUCGUGGCUCCACCGACCUACUUCUUCCUCCUAUAUAUACCUACGUACCCCGAAACCAUCAGAGGCAUCCAUGAAAACCUAAUUCCACCGCCGCAACCUUCUGUACCCGUGAGAUCCCAUCUCGGGGCCCUUUCCGGAGUCCUGCCGGAGGGGCCAUUGAUCACGGAGGGCUUCUACAUCAACACCAUAGCCUCUCCGAUGAUGUGUGAGUAGUUUACCUCAGACCUUCGGGUCCAUAGUUAUUAGCUAGAUGGCUUCUUCUCUCUCUUUGGAUCUCAAUACAAAGUUCUCCUCGAUUCUCUUGAAGAUCUAUUUGAUGUAACUCUUCUUUUUGCGGUGUGUUUGUCGAGACCAAUGAAUUGUGGGUUUAUGAUCAAGAUUAUCUAUGAACAAUAUUUGAAUCUCCUCUAAAUUCUUUUAUGUAUGAUUGGUUAUCUUUGCAAGUCUCUUCGAAUUACCAGUUUGGUUUGGCCUACUAGAUUGAUCUUUCUUGCAAUGGGAGAAGUGCUUAGCUUUGGGUUCAAUCUUGCGGUGCUCGAUCCCAGUGACAGAAAGGGAAACGACGCGUAUUGUAUUGUUGCCAUCGAGGAUAAAAAGAUGGGGUUUAUAUCAUAUUGCAUGACUUUAUCCCUCUACAUCAUGUCAUCUUACUUAAAGCAUUACUCUGUUCUUAUGAACUUAAUACUCUAGAUGCAUGCUGGAUAGCGGUCGAUGUGUGGACUAAUAGUAGUAGAUGCAGAAUCGUUUCGGUCUACUUGUCGCCGACGUGAUGCCUAUAUACAUGAUCAUACCUAGAUAUUCUCAUAACUAUGCUCAAUUCUAUCAAUUGCUCGACAGUAAUUUGUUCACCCACCGUAAUACUUAUGCUAUCUUGAGAGAAGCCACUAGUGAAACCUAUGGCCCCGGGUCUAUUUUCCAUUAUAUUAAUCUUUCCUCACUUAGCUAUUUCUGGCGCCGUUUAUUUUUCUUUCAUUACUUUGCAUCUUUAUCAUUAAAAUACCUAAAAUAUUAUCUUACCAUAUCUAUCAGAUCUCACUCUCAUAAGUGACCGUGAAGGGAUUGACAACCCUUUUAUUAUGUUGGUUGCGAGGUUCUUAUUUGUUUGUGUAGGUACGAGGGACUUGUGCGUGGUCUCCUACUGGAUUGAUACCUUGGUUCUCAAAAACUGAGGGAAAUACUUACGCUACUUUACUGCAUCACCCUUUCCUCUUCAAGGGAAAACCAACGCAGUGCUCAAGAGGUAGCAAGAAGGAUUUCUGGCGCCGUUGCCGGGGAGAUCUACACGAAAGUCAACAUACCAAGUACCCAUCACAAACUCUUAUCCCCCGCAUUACAUUAUUUGCCAUUUGCCUCUCGUUUUCCUCUCCCCCACUUCACCCUUGUUGUUUUAUUCGCCCUCUCUUUUCCGUUCGCCUCCCUCUUUCACUUGCUCCUCGCAUUUUCUGCCGUUAUGUCUGAAAUUGGGGAAAUUAUUAUCGAUAUGGACAAUAAUAAUAACAUGGAAAAUUCUGAUGCUCCUGCUGAAGAACCCCCUAUCUUACAUACAAAAAAAUUCCGAAUCAGUAGUGGUAAUAUUAUUGGAAAAGGGGUUAUUCAAGAUUUCUUUACUUGUGCCGGUGCUUUGCCUUCUAUGGGUAGUUCUAUUCUCCAUAGAACUAGUAGUCUUGCGGACGCUAUCUCCAUGCUUAUAGUUGAACUUGAAAGGCAAUUUAUGCACAUGCAUCCUUGCAUACAAAGGAUUUUUCUAGAAUUUUCUAAUAUUGAGCAUUCUUCUUUAAAGCGCGCCGCUACUAUCUUUUUGGCACAUGAAUUCAGAUUUAUAAUAAAAGAGGCCAAAGAAAUCUUUGCGCACUGUAGGGUGGACGCUGGUCGUCCUCCCAUAGAGGCAAUCCACUUUGAUCAAGAGGAAAUAAUGUGUUUUCAAUCUUUAGACUAUGUUGCUUUUAAUGAAAACCUUAGAAAAAAGGUUCCUACCAAUGUUCUAGUUGAUAGAAUUUCUGAACUUAAUAAUGAUUUUGCUAUCCGAAAUAAUGAGCUAGGAUAUUCUCUCGAAUAUAGGCUCACGAAGUUCUGCCAAAAGAAUGCUUAUAAUGAUGAAUUGGUUGUGCCAUAUGAAGGGCCGAAGGAGGAACCUAUACCUCCCAAAAUUGAUCUUGGGGACUUCUGUCCCAUUAAAUUUAGACCUUUUGAUUACUUUUGCUUGCCUCAAAGAAAACUACCUGCUGAACGUAGAGAAUAUGAAAUGAGUUUUCGUGAUCUAUCCUAUUAUUAUGGCAAUACCUAGAUCUAUCCUUGCUUUUAUGCCUAGCUAGGGCGUUAAACGAUAGCGCUUGUUGGGAGGCAACCCAAUUUUAUUUUAGUUUUUUUUGCUUUUUGCUUCUGUUUAGGAUUAAAUCUUUGAUCUAGCCUCUGGUUAGAUUUGUUUUUAUGUUUUAAUUAGUGUUUGUGCCAAGUUAAACCUAUAGGAUCUUCUUGGAUGAUAGUUAUUUGAUCUUGCUGAAAAUUCCAGAAACUUUCUGUUCACGAAAACAAUUAUUAAAAAUCACCAGAACGUGAUAAAAUAUUUAUUCCAAUUGCAGCAGAUCAAUAAACAAAUGUUUUAGGUAUUCCUAUUUUGGUAGAUUUUUUUAGUUUCAGAAGUUUGCGUUAGUUACAGAUUACUACAGACUGUUCUGUUUUUGACAGAUUCUGUUUUUCGUGUGUUGUUUGCUUAUUUUGAUGAAUCUAUGGCUAGUAAAAUAGUUUAUAAACCAUACAGAAGUUGGAAUACAGUAGGUUAACACCAAUAUAAAUAAAGAAUGAGUUCGUUACAGUACCUUGAAGUGGUGUUUUGUUUUCUUUCGCUAACGGAGCUUACGAGAUUUUCUGUUGAGUUUUGUGUUGUGAAGUUUUCAAGUUUUGGGUAAAAGAUUUGAUGGAUUAUGGAACAAGGAGUGGCAAGAGCCUAAGGUUGGGGAUGCCCAUGGCACCCCAAGGUAAUCUAAGGACACCAAAAAGCCAAAGCUUGGGGAUGCCCCGGAAGGCAUCCCCUCUUUCGUCUUCGUCCAUCGGUAACUUUACUUGGAGCUAUAUUUUUAUUCACCACAUGUUAAGUGUUUUGCUUGGAGCGUCUUGUAUGAUUUGAGCCUUUGCUUUUUAGUUUACCACAUUCAUCCUUGCUGUACACACCUUUUGAGAGAGACACACAUGAUUCGGAAUUUAUUAGAAUACUCUAUGUGCUUCACUUAUAUCUUUUGAGUUAUAUAGUUUUUGCUCUAGUGCUUCACUUACAUCUUUUAGAGCAUGGUGGUGGUUUUGUUUUAUAGAAAUUAUUGUUCUCUCAUGCUUCACUUAUACUAUUUUGAGAGUCCUACAAAACAGCAUGGUAAUUUGCUUAAAUUGGGAAAUUAGUCCUAAUAUGCUAGGUAUUCAAGAUUAGUAAAAACUUUCUUAUGCCUGUGUUGAAUACUAAGAAAAGUUUGAUGCUUGAUGAUUGUUUUGAGAUAUGGAGGUAGUGAUAUUAAAGUUGUGCUAGUUGAGUAGUUGUGAAUUUGAGAAAUACUUGUGUUAAAGUUGGCAAGUCCCGUAGCAUGCACGUAUGGUAAACGUUAUGUAACAAAUUUGAAACAUGAGGUGUUCUUUGAUUGUCCUCCUUAUGAGUGGCGGUCGGGGACGAGCGAUGGUCUUUUCCUACCAAUCUAUCCCCCUAGGAGCAUGCGCGUAGUGCUUGGUUUUUGAUGACUUGUAGAUUUUUGGAAUAAGUAUGUGAGUUCUUUAUGACUAAUGUUGAGUCCAUGGAUUAUACGCACUCUUAUCCUUCCAUCAUUGCUAGCCUCUUCGGUACCGUGCAUUGCCCUUUCUCACCUUGAGAGUUGGUGCAAACUUCGCCGGUGCAUCCAAACCCCGUGAUACAAUGCGCUCUAUCACACAUAAACCUCCUUAUAUCUUCCUCAAAACAGCCACCAUACCUACCUAUCAUGGCAUUUCCAUAGCCAUUCCGAGAUAUAUUGCCAUGCAACUUUCCACCGUUCCGUUUAUCAUGACACGUUUCAUCAUUGUCAUAUUGCCUUGGAUGAUCAUGUAGUUGACAUCAUAUUUGUGGGAAAGCCAACAUUCAUAAUUUUUCAUACAUGUCACUCUUGAUUCGUUGCCCAUCCCGGUACACCGCCGGAGGCAUUCAUAUAGAGUCAUACUUUGUUCUAGUAUCGAGUUGUAAUCAUUGAGAUGUAAAUAAAUAGAAGUGUGAUGAUCAUCAUUCAUAGAGCAUUGUCCCAACAAAAAAAGGCCAAAUAAAAAAAGGCCCAAUAUAUAUAUAUAUAUAUAUAUAUAAAGGGUCAAUGCUACUAUCCUUUUCCCACACUUGUCCUUCAAAGUAGCACCAUGAUCUUCCUGAUAGAGAGUCUCUUGUUUUGUCACUUUCAUAUACUAGUGGGAAUUUUUCAUUAUAGAACUUGGCUUGUAUAUUCCAACAAUGGGCUCCCUCAAAUGCACUAGGUCUUCGUGAGCAAGCAAGUUGGAUGCACACCCACUUAGUUUCUUUUCGUUGAGCUUUCAUGCAUUUAUAGCUCUAGUGCAUCCGUUGCAUGGCAAUCCCUACUCCUUGCAUUAACAUCAAUCAUUGGGCAUCUCCCUAGCCCGUUGAUUAGCCGCGUUAAUGUGAGACUUUCUCCUUUUUUGUCUUCUCCACAUACCCCCCAAUAUUAUAUUUUAUUCCACCCAUAGUGCUAUAUCCAUGGCUCACGCUCAUGUAUUGCGUGAAGGUUGAAAAAGUUUGAGAUUACUAAAGUAUGAAACAAUUGCUUGGCUUAUCACCAGGGUUGUGCAUGAUGAGAGCAUUCUUGUGUGACGAAAAUGGAGCAUGACCAAACCAUAUGAUUUUGUAGGGAUGAACUUUCUUUGGCCAUGUUAUUUUUAGAAGACAUAAUUGCUUAGUUAGUAUGCUUGAAGUAUUAUUAUUUUUAUGUCAAUAUUAAACUUUUAUCUGGAAUCUUUCGGAUCUGAAUAUUCAUACCACAAUUAAGAGGGUUACAUUGAAAAUUAUGCCAAGUAGCAUUCCACAUAAAAAAUUUUGUUUUUAUCAUUUACCUACUCGAGGACGAGCAGGAAUUAAGCUUGGGGAUGCUUGAUACAUCUCCAACGUAUCUAUAAUUUUUUAUUGUUCCAUGCUAUAUUAUAUUCUGUUUUGGAUGAUUAAUGGGCUUUGUUAUACACUUUUAUAUUAUUUUUGGGACUAACCUAUUAACCGGAGGCCCAGCCAAAAUUGCUGUUUUUUACCUAUUUCAGUGUUUCGGGGAAAAAGAAUAUCAAACGGAGUCCAAACGGAAAGAAACUUUCGGGAACGUGAUUUGUGGAACAAACGUGAUCCAGAGGACUUGGAGUGGACGUCAAGCAACAGACAAGGCGGCCACGAGGUAGGGGGCGCCCCCCAAGGCGCGCCCUCCACCCUCGUGGGCCCCUCAUGGCUCCACUGACCUACUUCUUCCUCCUAUAUAUACCUACGUACCCCCAAACCAUCAGAGGCAUCCACGAAAACCUAAUUCCACCGCCGCAACCUUCUGUACCCGUGAGAUCCCAUCUUGGGGCCUUUUCCGGCGUCCUGCCGGAGGGGGCAUUGAUCACGGAGGGCUUCUACAUCAACACCGUAGCCUCUCUGAUGAUGUGUGAGUAGUUUACCCCAGACCUUCGGGUCCAUAGUUAUUAGCUAGAUGGCUUCCUCUCUCUCUUUGGAUAUUAAUACAAAGUUCUCCUCGAUUCUCUUGGAGAUCUAUUUGAUGUAACUCUUCUUUUUGUCUUGUGUUUGUCGAGACCGAUGAAUUGUGGGUUUAUGAUCAAGAUUAUCUAUGAACAAUAUUUGAAUCUCCUCUGAAUUCUUUUAUGUAUGAUUGGUUAUCUUUGCAAGUCUCUUCGAAUUAUCAGUUUGGUUUGGCCUACUAGAUUGAUCUUUCUUGCAAUGGGAGAAGUGCUUAGCUUUGGGUUCAAUCUUGCGGUGCUCGAUCCCAGUGACAGAAAGGGAAACGAC
rnacentral:lncRNA from 1 species